GGUCAUCGCCAUACAAAUAUUGUUAGCUUCUUUAAGCAACUUCAAGUUAACUUAUAGUCCGAUACAUUUCCUGCAGGGUAUGUACAAUACAUA